rnacentral:rRNA from 1 species
UAAGUUAUUAAGGGCGCACGGUGGAUGCCUUGGCACUAGAAGCCGAUGAAGGACGUUACUAACGACGAUAUGCUUUGGGGAGCUGUAAGUAAGCUUUGAUCCAGAGAUUUCCGAAUGGGGAAACCCAGCAUGAGUUAUGUCAUGUUAUCGAUAUGUGAAUACAUAGCAUAUCAGAAGGCACACCCGGAGAACUGAAACAUCUUAGUACCCGGAGGAAGAGAAAGAAAAUUCGAUUCCCUUAGUAGCGGCGAGCGAAACGGGAAGAGCCCAAACCAACAAGCUUGCUUGUUGGGGUUGUAGGACACUCUAUACGGAGUUACAAAGGACGACAUUAGACGAAUCAUCUGGAAAGAUUGAAUUCAAAGAAGGUAAUAAUCCUGUAGUCGAAAAUGUUGUCUCUCUUGAGUGGCUCCUUGAGUACGACGGAGCACGUGAAAUUCCGUCGGAAUCUGGGAGGACCAUCUCCUAAGGCUAAAUACUCUCUAGUGACCGAUAGUGAACCAGUACCGUGAGGGAAAGGUGAAAAGCACCCCGGAAGGGGAGUGAAAUAGAACCUGAAACCGUGUGCUUACAAGUAGUCAGAGCCCGUUAAUGGGUGAUGGCGUGCCUUUUGUAGAAUGAACCGGCGAGUUACGAUUUGAUGCAAGGUUAAGCAGUAAAUGUGGAGCCGUAGCGAAAGCGAGUCUGAAUAGGGCGUUUAGUAUUUGGUCGUAGACCCGAAACCAGGUGAUCUACCCUUGGUCAGGUUGAGGUUCAGGUAACACUGAAUGGAGGACCGAACCGACUUACGUUGAAAAGUGAGCGGAUGAACUGAGGGUAGCGGAGAAAUUCCAAUCGAACCUGGAGAUAGCUGGUUCUCUCCGAAAUAGCUUUAGGGCUAGCCUCAAGUGAUGAUUAUUGGAGGUAGAGCACUGUUUGGACGAGGGGCCCCUCUCGGGUUACCGAAUUCAGACAAACUCCGAAUGCCAAUUAAUUUAACUUGGGAGUCAGAACAUGGGUGAUAAGGUCCGUGUUCGAAAGGGAAACAGCCCAGACCACCAGCUAAGGUCCCAAAAUAUAUGUUAAGUGGAAAAGGAUGUGGCGUUGCCCAGACAACUAGGAUGUUGGCUUAGAAGCAGCCAUCAUUUAAAGAGUGCGUAAUAGCUCACUAGUCGAGUGACACUGCGCCGAAAAUGUACCGGGGCUAAACAUAUUACCGAAGCUGUGGAUUGUCCUUUGGACAAUGGUAGGAGAGCGUUCUAAGGGCGUUGAAGCAUGAUCGUAAGGACAUGUGGAGCGCUUAGAAGUGAGAAUGCCGGUGUGAGUAGCGAAAGACGGGUGAGAAUCCCGUCCACCGAUUGACUAAGGUUUCCAGAGGAAGGCUCGUCCGCUCUGGGUUAGUCGGGUCCUAAGCUGAGGCCGACAGGCGUAGGCGAUGGAUAACAGGUUGAUAUUCCUGUACCACCUAUAAUCGUUUUAAUCGAUGGGGGACGCAGUAGGAUAGGCGAAGCGUGCGAUUGGAUUGCACGUCUAAGCAGUAAGGCUGAGUAUUAGGCAAAUCCGGUACUCGUUAAGGCUGAGCUGUGAUGGGGAGAAGACAUUGUGUCUUCGAGUCGUUGAUUUCACACUGCCGAGAAAAGCCUCUAGAUAGAAAAUAGGUGCCCGUACCGCAAACCGACACAGGUAGUCAAGAUGAGAAUUCUAAGGUGAGCGAGCGAACUCUCGUUAAGGAACUCGGCAAAAUGACCCCGUAACUUCGGGAGAAGGGGUGCUCUUUAGGGUUAACGCCCAGAAGAGCCGCAGUGAAUAGGCCCAAGCGACUGUUUAUCAAAAACACAGGUCUCUGCUAAACCGUAAGGUGAUGUAUAGGGGCUGACGCCUGCCCGGUGCUGGAAGGUUAAGAGGAGUGGUUAGCUUCUGCGAAGCUACGAAUCGAAGCCCCAGUAAACGGCGGCCGUAACUAUAACGGUCCUAAGGUAGCGAAAUUCCUUGUCGGGUAAGUUCCGACCCGCACGAAAGGCGUAACGAUUUGGGCACUGUCUCAACGAGAGACUCGGUGAAAUCAUAGUACCUGUGAAGAUGCAGGUUACCCGCGACAGGACGGAAAGACCCCGUGGAGCUUUACUGUAGCCUGAUAUUGAAAUUCGGCACAGCUUGUACAGGAUAGGUAGGAGCCUUUGAAACGUGAGCGCUAGCUUACGUGGAGGCGCUGGUGGGAUACUACCCUAGCUGUGUUGGCUUUCUAACCCGCACCACUUAUCGUGGUGGGAGACAGUGUCAGGCGGGCAGUUUGACUGGGGCGGUCGCCUCCUAAAAGGUAACGGAGGCGCUCAAAGGUUCCCUCAGAAUGGUUGGAAAUCAUUCAUAGAGUGUAAAGGCAUAAGGGAGCUUGACUGCGAGACCUACAAGUCGAGCAGGGUCGAAAGACGGACUUAGUGAUCCGGUGGUUCCGCAUGGAAGGGCCAUCGCUCAACGGAUAAAAGCUACCCCGGGGAUAACAGGCUUAUCUCCCCCAAGAGUUCACAUCGACGGGGAGGUUUGGCACCUCGAUGUCGGCUCAUCGCAUCCUGGGGCUGUAGUCGGUCCCAAGGGUUGGGCUGUUCGCCCAUUAAAGCGGUACGCGAGCUGGGUUCAGAACGUCGUGAGACAGUUCGGUCCCUAUCCGUCGUGGGCGUAGGAAAUUUGAGAGGAGCUGUCCUUAGUACGAGAGGACCGGGAUGGACAUACCUCUGGUGUACCAGUUGUCGUGCCAACGGCAUAGCUGGGUAGCUAUGUGUGGACGGGAUAAGUGCUGAAAGCAUCUAAGCAUGAAGCCCCCCUCAAGAUGAGAUUUCCCAACUUCGGUUAUAAGAUCCCUCAAAGAUGAUGAGGUUAAUAGGUUCGAGGUGGAAGCAUGGUGACAUGUGGAGCUGACGAAUACUAAUCGAUCGAAGACUUAAUCA